rnacentral:rRNA from 1 species
CCUACGGGAGGCAGCAGUAGGGAAUCUUCCACAAUGGGCGAAAGCCUGAUGGAGCAACACCGCGUGGGUGAAGAAGGUCUUCGGCUCGUAAAACCCUGUUGUUGGAGAAGAACGUGCGUGAGAGUAACUGUUCACGUUUCGACGGUAUCUAACCAGAAAGCCACGGCUAACUACGUGCCAGCAGCCGCGGUAAUACGUAGGUGGCAAGCGUUAUCCGGAUUUAUUGGGCGUAAAGCGAACGCAGGCGGUCUUUUAGGUCUGAUGUGAAAGCCUUCGGCUUAACCGAAGUAGUGCAUGGGAAACUGGGAGACGUGAGUGCAGAAGAGGAGAGUGGAACUCCAGGUGUAGCGGUGGAAGGCGUAGAUAUAUGGAAGAACACCAGUGGCGAAGGCGGCUCUCUGGUCUGUAACUGACGCUGAGGUUCGAAAGCGUGGGUAGCAAACAGGAUUAGAUACCCCUGUAGUC